rnacentral:tRNA from 1 species
GGAGAGAUGGCUCAGUGGUUAAGAGCACUGGCUGCUCUUUCAGAAAGCCUGGGUUCAAUUCCCAGCACCC